rnacentral:rRNA from 1 species
GACGUAGGGGGCAAGCGUUGUCCGGAUUGAUUGGGCGUAAAGAGCGUGUAGGCGGCCGCACAGGUCCGUUGUGAAAACUGGAGGCUUAACCUUCAGACGUCGAUGGAAACCGUGCGGCUAGAGUCCGGAAGAGGAGAAUGGAAUUCCUGGUGUAGCGGUGAAAUGCGCAGAUAUCAGGAAGAACACCCGUGGCUAAGGCGGUUCUCUAGUACGGUACUGACGCUGAGACGCGAAAGCGUGGGGAGCGAACAGG